rnacentral:rRNA from 1 species
AACGAACGCUGGCGGCAUGCCUAACACAUGCAAGUCGAACGAGACCUUCGGGUCUAGUGGCGCACGGGUGCGUAACGCGUGGGAAUCUGCCCUUCGGUUGGGAAUAACUGAGAGAAAUUUCAGCUAAUACCUUAUAAUGUCUUCGGACCAAAGAUUUAUCGCCGAGGGAUGAGCCCGCGUAGGAUUAGGUAGUUGGUGGGGUAAUGGCCUACCAAGCCGACGAUCCUUAGCUGGGCUGAGAGGAUGAUCAGCCACAAUGGGACUGAGACACGGCCCAGACUCCUACGGGAGGCAGCAGUGGGGAAUAUUGGACAAUGGGCGAAAGCCUGAUCCAGCAAUGCCGCGUGAGUGAUGAAGGCCUUAGGGUUGUAAAGCUCUUUUACCCGGGAUGAUAAUGACAGUACCGGGAGAAUAAGCUCCGGCUAACUCCGUGCCAGCAGCCGCCGUAA